AUCAUCAUCAUCAUCACCACUAUCACCACCAUCAUCAUCAUCAUUACCACCACUAUCACCAUCAUCAUCACCAUCACCAUCAUCAUCAUCACCUUCAUCAUCAUCAUCAUCAUCAUCAUCAUCAUCAUCACCCAUCAUCAUCAUCAUUACCACCACUGUCACAUAAUGAUCAUCACCAUCAUCAUCAUCAUCAUCAUCAUCAUCAUCAUUACCAUCGCUAUCACCAUCAUAUCAUCAUCAUCAUCAUCACCAUCACCAUCAUCAUCAUUACCACCACUAUCACCAUCAUCAUCAUCAUCAUCACCAUCAUCAUCAUUACCACCGCUAUCACCAUCUUCAUCAUCAUCAUUAUCAUCAUUACCACCACUAUCAUCAUCAUUGUCAUCAUCAUCACCAUCAUCAUCAUUACCACCACUAUCACCAUCAUCAUCAUCAUCACCAUCAUCAUCAUUACCAUCAUCAUCAUCAUCACCAUCAUCAUCAUUACCACCGCUAUCACCAUCAUCAUCAUCAUCAUCACCAUCAUCAUUAUUACCACCAUCACCAUCAUCAUCAUCACCAUCAUCAUCAUCAUCACCAUCAUCAUCAUCAUCAUCAUCAUCACCAUCAUCAUUACCACCACUAUCACCAUCAUGAUCAUUAUCUUCAUCGUCAUUACCACCACUAUCACCAUCAUCAUCAUCAUCACCAUCAUCAUCAUCAUCAUCACCAUCAUCAUCAUUACCACCAUCAUCAUCACCAUCAUUAUCAUUACCACUACUAUCUUCAUCAUCACCAUCAUCAUUACCACUACUAUCAUCAUCAUCAUCAUAAUCAUCAUCAUUUCCACCAUCAUCAUCAGUUCAUGAACAUCAUUAUUAUAAUCAUCAUCAUCACCAACAAUACAACAAACUUUAUCAUCAUUAUAAAAGUUAUUCUCAGCAUCUACCAACAAUACCAUGAACACCACUAACAUCACCAUUGUCAUUAUCAUUAUAAUUAUAAUCAACAAAGCCAUCUUGACCAUAAUCAUUGUCAUCAUCAUGGUUAUCAUCAUCAUGAGCUCCACCAGCACUAUCAUCAUCAUCAUCAUCAUCACCACCACCAUCAUCUUUGCCAUCUCAUAAUCACCACUAUCAUCAUCAUCAUCAUCAUCAUAACCAUCAUCACUGUCAUCUCCAUCAUCAUCAAAACUAUGAUCAUAAUCAUCAUCAUCAUCAUCCCAAACAAUACCAUGAACUUAAUCAUCAUCAACUUUAUCCUCAUCAUCCUCAUGAACAUAAUCAUUAUUACUAACAAUACCAUGAACUUUAUCACCACCACCAUCAUCAUCACCAUCAUCAUCACCGUCAUCAUUAUAAAAGCUUCAGCAUCCACCAAAAAACACCAGAACCAUUAUUCUCUAACUCUCCAUCUUCAUUAUCAUCAUCAGCCUUACUGUCAGCAUCACUCCAUUUUCCACUGUUAACAAAACCAUCACCUUCAUCAACCAUCAUUAUCAUUGUUUCCACCAACUUAUCUUCACCACCAUCUUCAUUAUCAUCAUCAUCAUCAUCAUCAUCGGGGGCAGUGGUGGCUUGGUGGUUAAGGCUCUGGGUUACUGAUCAGAAGGUCGGGGGUUCAAGCCCCAGCACUGCCAAAAUGCCCCUGUUGGGCCCUUAAC
ensembl:lncRNA